ensembl:snoRNA
UAGCCAGUCAAUUAGUCUGCUUAUCUGAAUGUGUUUCUGCAGAAAUGUAGAGAAAGUUGGCAAUAGUGAUGCCAUGUUACAAGCCUUAAGGGCAGCUGAGGUCGUUAAGGUCCCUGAAAAUGGCUACAAUA